rnacentral:rRNA from 1 species
GUCUAUUUGGGGAUAUACAUAGUCUGGCCUGCUCACUGACACAGGAUUGUUUAAGAGCCGCGGUAUUUUGACCGUGCAAAGGUAGCAUAAUCAUUAGCUUUUUGAUUGAAAGCUUGUAUGAAUGGUCGGACAAAGGAAAAGCUGUCUUUAUUGUAAAAUUAGAAAUUAACCUCUAAGUGAAAAGGCUUAGAUUUUUUAGGGGGACGAUAAGACCCUAUAAAGCUUUACAUAUAAGUAGAGUUUACUUAAUUAAAAAGUAAAAGUUUAAUCUAAUUAAUGUGUUUUGUUGGGGCGACAUAAAUAUAAUUUAUAUUAACUGUUUAUAAAUUAAUACAAUAAUAAAUGAUUUUAAUGUAGUUGAUCCUUAUUAAAGAUUAAAAGACUAAGUUACUUUAGGGAUAACAGCGUUAUUUCUUUUGAGAGCUCCUAUCGAAAAAGAAGUUUGCGACCUCGAUGUUGAAUUAAAAUAUCUAAAUAAUGCAGCAGUUAUUUAAGAAGGUCUGUUCGACCUUUAAAUUUUU